UACGUAGGGUGCAAGCGUUGUCCGGAAUUAUUGGGCGUAAAGAGCUCGUAGGCGGUUUGUCGCGUCUGCUGUGAAAACUCGGGGCUUAACCCCGGGCCUGCAGUGGGUACGGGCAGACUAGAGUGCGGUAGGGGAGACUGGAAUUCCUGGUGUAGCGGUGGAAUGCGCAGAUAUCAGGAGGAACACCGGUGGCGAAGGCGGGUCUCUGGGCCGAUACUGACACUGAGGAGCGAAAGCGUGGGGAGCGAACAGG
rnacentral:rRNA from 1 species